AACCUAGCACACCUGCGGUGUGUACCUGCGGAAGGAUCAUUACAAGUGACCCCGGUCUAACCACCGGGAUGUUCAUAACCCUUUGUUGUCCGACUCUGUUGCCUCCGGGGCGGCCCUGCCUUCGGGCGGGGGCUCCGGGUGGACACUUCAAACUCUUGCGUAACUUUGCAGUCUGAGUAAACUUAAUUAAUAAAUUAAAACUUUUAACAAUGGAUCU
rnacentral:misc_RNA from 1 species